rnacentral:rRNA from 1 species
UACGGAGGAUGCGAGCGUUAUCCGGAUUUAUUGGGUUUAAAGGGUGCGCAGGCGGGCUGUUAAGCCGGCGGUAAAAAUUCAGGGCUCAACCCUGUCGAGCCGUCGGAACUGGCAGUCUUGAGUGGGCGAGAAGUAUGCGGAAUGCGUGGUGUAGCGGUGGAAUGCUUAGAUAUCACGAAGAACUCCGAUUGCGAAGGCAGCCUGCUGGACUGUAACUGACGCUGAUGCUCGAAAGUGUGGGUAUCAAACAGG